rnacentral:rRNA from 1 species
AUGAACGCUGGCGGCGUGCCUCAUACAUGCAAGUCGAGCGAACAGACGAGGAGCUUGCUCCUCUGACGUUAGCGGCGGACGGGUGAGUAACACGUGGAUAACCUACCUAUAAGACUGGGAUAACUUCGGGAAACCGGAGCUAAUACCGGAUAAUAUAUUGAACCGCAUGGUUCAAUAGUGAAAGACGGUUUUGCUGUCACUUAUAGAUGGAUCCGCGCCGCAUUAGCUAGUUGGUAAGGUAACGGCUUACCAAGGCGACGAUGCGUAGCCGACCUGAGAGGGUGAUCGGCCACACUGGAACUGAGACACGGUCCAGACUCCUACGGGAGGCAGCAGUAGGGAAUCUUCCGCAAUGGGCGAAAGCCUGACGGAGCAACGCCGCGUGAGUGAUGAAGGUCUUCGGAUCGUAAAACUCUGUUAUUAGGGAAGAACAAAUGUGUAAGGAACUAUGCACGUCUUGACGGUACCUAAUCAGAAAGCCACGGCUAACUAC